CUCCAGGGAAGAGAGGUUACAGCCUGAGGCUUGGUGAGAGCUCCUGGAGACAGCAUCAGCCCAUUCAGCCUGAUGUAACGUUCAUGUCUCACAGCUACAAUGGACACAUCAAGAGUCUAUGUCAAUGUAAAGACCUUUAGGACCCCAGGACACAAGUGUGCAUCACCUCCAUCUCUUCCCCCAGUGCGAUUCUUGAUGGAGAAACCACCAAUCGAAAAGCACGGUGUGGCUGAUCAAGAGAACAGGACUGAACCAACAGGGAGAUCAGCCAUGCUAAAGUGUCCAAGAGACUGGCAUCUACACCAGGAUAAAUGCUUAUUUAUUUCUCAAAUUCUCCGACCUUGGGCUGAAGGUCUAGCUGACUGUUUUGUGAAAGAAGCCACUUUGUUGCUCCUUGAAGAUGAAGGAGAUAUGAGAUUCAUUCAGGACAUCUCAAAGAAAAGAAGACAGCAAUUCUUUAUCGGACUAAAUUAUGUACCAGCAGAGAAGAUCUGGAAGUGUAUAAAUGCCUCUGUUUUAAGUCCUGAUAUAUGCCUGUCGGUUCCCAUACUGGCAUCAGUUGGCUCUGAAACUCCGCUGUGCUUGGCUGAUUCUUCCUGUCUUGAGCCUGACUGGACUCAGUGUCUUAGGUCGAGUCAGAUGACUUUUGCCCUGGCUGACUCUGACAUCCAUGGAAUCUUGAGUAGUCACCUGAGGACUGACUGACAGACACACCACAUGUUUCCAUUGUGUUUUGUCAGUUUGUCUACAUGACCAUUGAACACAGUUGGAAGACACAACAAGACUUGACCUUCCGUGCAGCUCUGUGUACUCUCAUGCACUUUCUGCUGGAUGAGCCAUGUUCAAGGGUGGUGAAUUGAUGGAAGGAGUUUCAAGUCACAUUGCACAUGGCACAAAUAUAAGGAAAGGCAUGGAACUAGGGCUUUAUUUAACCAUAUAAAACUUCAAUAUCAUUUUGUUUUGUAGCAAACUCCAGACAGCAUAUGUGUGAAAGUCUGGUAGGGCUAGAUGGCCUCAAAAGCACUUUCCUGCCAGGAGUGGUGAUCUAUAACGUCAUAUCCAGCACCUCAGAGGUAGAGGCCUGAGCAAAAGGAUGUUAAGGUCAUCUUCAGCUACAUAAAGAGUUUGAGGCCAGCCUCGGCUACAUGAG
rnacentral:lncRNA from 1 species